UUGCUCAACAUCUUAACAUUUAUCACAGAGAGCACCUUGCAUAGUGUUAUUGGAAGAGACAUAUCAACUAGGUAUAGGGCUCCCAGAAUGGAAGAAAAGAAUAGUUGGGAUGUCCGUAGAAUAACCACUGAAUAGCCAAACAGUGUUUGGGGCUUAGCUGACUGGCAGUUUUUUUUGAUCUGCAGGAAUCAUUACCAGCACCUUACAAAAUGCAGCCCAGCACAUCUGCUUUGUAGCACUCCAAAUGCUUUGGACCACGGCAACAGGAAAGAAGAUGCAAUAUGUAACUCAUCCGCAAAUAAAGAGAAUG